UGCAUCGACCUGGAAUCAAACCCUUCCGCCCGCGUGGCCGGCGAGCAUUCUACCACUGGACCACGGAUGC